GGGGUGUGCUGGGAGCAGGUGGCCGGAAGAAUGGCUUCUCUGUUUAUAACACACCCAACAGGAAUUUAGGGUCACUGUGACAAGGUGCACAAAACUGGUGACUUCCCUUCAACGUGGCUUCUGGAUAG
rnacentral:snoRNA from 1 species